rnacentral:rRNA from 1 species
AUUGAACGCUGGCGGCAGGCUUAACACAUGCAAGUCGAGCGGGGAAGGGUAGCUUGCUACCUAACCUAGCGGCGGACGGGUGAGUAAUGCUUAGGAAUCUGCCAUUUAGUGGGGGACAACAUUCCGAAAGGAAUGCUAAUACCGCAUACGUCCUACGGGAGAAAGCAGGGGAUCUUCGGACCUUGCGCUAAAUGAUGAGCCUAAGUCGGAUUAGCUAGUUGGUGGGGUAAAGGCCUACCAAGGCGACGAUAUGUAGCGGGUCUGAGAGGAUGAUCCGCCACACUGGGACUGAGACACGGCCCAGACUCCUACGGGAGGCAGCAGUGGGGAAUAUUGGACAAUGGGCGGAAGCCUGAUCCAGCCAUGCCGCGUGUGUGAAGAAGGCCUUAUGGUUGUAAAGCACUUUAAGCGAGGAGGAGGCUACUUAGAUUAAUACUCUAGGAUAGUGGACGUUACUCGCAGAAUAAGCACCGGCUAACUCUGUGCCAGCAGCCGCGGUAAAAC